rnacentral:rRNA from 1 species
AUUGAACGCUGGCGGCAGGCCUAACACAUGCAAGUCGAGCGAGCGGCGGACGGGUGAGUAAUGUAUGGGGACUGCCCGAUCGAGGGGGAUAACUACUGGAAAAGGUGGCUAAUACCGCAUACUAUCGGAUAUCCCAUCUGGGAUUAGCUAGUAGGUGGGGUAAAGGCUCAUCUAGGCGACGAUCCAUAGCUGGUCUGAGAGGAUGACAAGCCACACUGGGACUGAGACACGGCCCAGACUCCUACGGAGGCAGCAGUGGGGAAUAUUGCACAAUGGGCGCAAGCCUGAUGCAGCAAUGCCGCGUGUAUGAAGAAGGCCUUAGGGUUGUAAAAUACUGUCGGCGGGGAAGCGGUACCCGCAGAAGAAGCACCGGCUAACGCCGUGCCAGCAGCCGCGGUAAUUC